rnacentral:rRNA from 1 species
GAUGAACGCUAGCGGCAGGCUUAACACAUGCAAGUCGAGGGGUAUCACGCUUUCGGGCGUGAGAGACCGGCGCACGGGUGCGUAACGCGUAUACAAUCUACCUUUUACAGAGGGAUAGCCCAGAGAAAUUUGGAUUAAUGCCCCAUAGUGUUAUCGAAUCGCAUGGUUUGAUAACUAAAGUUCCAACGGUAUAAGAUGAGCAUGCGUCCCAUUAGUUAGUUGGUAAGGUAACGGCUUACCAAGACAAUGAUGGGUAGGGGUCCUGAGAGGGAGAUCCCCCACACUGGUACUGAGACACGGACCAGACUCCUACGGGAGGCAGCAGUGAGGAAUAUUGGUCAAUGGGCGCAAGCCUGAACCAGCCAUGCCGCGUGCAGGAAGACGGUCCUAUGGAUUGUAAACUGCUUUUAUACAGGAAGAAACCCUCCCACGUGUGGGAGCUUGACGGUACUGUAGGAAUAAGGAUCGGCUAACUCCGUGCCAGCAGCCGCGGU